UGCUGUAUCCAGUUACUGGUCCGUCAGCUUCUCUGCCUGCUUCUCUUCUGUUUAGCUCCUAUAUUGGAUUGGCUUUCUAGUAAAUGGUUUGUCUUGUUUAGUUUCAUGUUGCUGGCCUCAGGUAGCUGCCUCUGCUAUAACUGCUCUACCGACUACAGGUGUUCUUCCGUGCUUGUCUUAAGACUUAUUGCAAGAAAAGAAAAAAAGCCUGGUGGAUGUGGUGAUGUAGGAGGUUCAAGUUUAACGAGUAAUUCUCUGUGUUGCUCUUCUAUACUAGGGUCUUUUGCUCAUUCAUACUUUUUUUUUUUUCCAGUGGCAUAUCCUCAGGUGGGUAAUGCUAAAGCCUGAUACACAAUUUUAGCUACUCUUUUGGGCAAGAUAUUGCCAUGAUCACUUUUCUCUCAAAUAUGUUUUCGAAAUGGCUAUUGUUUCGGUUUUCUCACUUUUUAUCGAUUGAACCUUCUGGUCUC